AACCCAUGUGAGGGAAUCUUCUCAAUAAAUCUUUUUAUCUCUCACAUGCAUCAUAAAGUGUUUCUAAAUCUAUUUGUACAAAAGAAGAGAUAUCAUUCCUCAGCUU
rfam:Gossypium arboreum cultivar AKA8401 contig_20817_5, whole genome shotgun sequence.